GGCUGACUACGAGCGUAAUCGGUGGAGUAGAAAGAGAUGCGACCUCGUACAAAAGCGUA
ncrna:unclassified sequences GP20-b RNA